rnacentral:rRNA from 1 species
CAAUAGCGUAUAUUAAAGUUGUUGCAGUUAAAAAGCUCGUAGUUGAAUUUCUGUCAGGAGUGACCGGGCCUUUGGAUGAACUUCCAUUGUUUUUUGCUCUGUUUGUCAUCUCUAGACAUCCUAAAUUACAUUUCUUGUAAUUUUCUUUUACUGUUAGCAAAAUAGAGUGUUCCAAGCAAAGCGUAGUUUUGAAUACAUUAGAAUGGAAUAAUAAGAUAGGACUUUGGUGCUAUUUUGUUGGUUUGCACACCAAGGUAAUGAUUAAUAGGGACAGUUGGGGGUAUUCGUAUUUAAUUGUCAGAGGUGAAAUUCUUGGAUUUAUGAAAGACGAACUACUGCGAAAGCAUUUACCAAGGAUGUUUUCAUUAA